ACCAUGUUAAUGCAUGACCUAUAACUAUGUGAUUUCUUUUCAAUAUGAACACAAGUUUAUACACAAGGAAGAAGAACAAAUAACUCGCUACAAGUCUAAAGACCAAAUAAAGGAGUUGCAUCAAAAUCAAAUAAAACAGAGCCCUUCUAUUUUGUUGAAUCCAGUCAAGAGAGGAUAUCAUGAAAAAGACCAUGUAGUUUAGUCCUCUGUUAAGUAUUUUGUCUAGAUCUUUUGCAAGGAGACGGGCUAGGCACAAUCUUAGCUUUACUACUCUUCUGAUAUAUUCAGUUCAGUUUGUAAAUUAACCAAAUCAAAACAGGAAGAGGUUUCCAACAAGUAUAUGACAAGGAAUUGUGUGUUGGUUGGUAUAUAUGAAAAAGAAAUCUGAUAUGCAGGAGUUUAUAUCAAUGAUAUUAGAGAAAACUCCAUCUGUGCUGCAGCCUCAUUGAUAAAGUGUGCUAUAGCGCUUAUUGAUAAAUCUUGUUAUGACAAAUUUAAAUUUUUAAGAUCCAAGUAAAUAAACUGGUAUAAAGCGACCGGCUCUUUAACUCCUUACAGGACUUUGUGGUGCGAAAUGAUAUGGGAUGUGGAUCAACUAUAGGUCCGAUACUUGCUUCAGGAGUUGGAAUCCGUACUGUUGAUUGUGGUAUUGCUCAACUAUCCAUGCACAGCGUGAGAGAGAUAUGUGGAAAGGAAGAUGUGGAUAUUGCAUACAAGCACUUCAAGGCAUUUUACCAGUCAUUCUCAAGCAUAGACAGGAAGUUGAAUGUGGAUUGAUAACUGGUGAUGUGAAAACCUUAGCUUUUUAAUUCAUAUAUUCAUACCUACACUCUCAUUAAUAACAACAGGAACUUUAGUCCGUGCAUCCUAACAUGUACGCGAAACAUAAAUGUAAGCAACAACACAUAACAAUAGUAUCCUAGUGUAAUUUUACCAGUGGGGUUUUGGAUCACA